rnacentral:rRNA from 1 species
GAGUUUGAUCGUGGCUCAGAGCGAACGCUGGCGGCAGGCCUAAAACAUGCAAGUCGAACGCCGUAGCAAUACGGAGUGGCAGACGGGUGAGUAACACGUGGGAACGUGCCUUUUGGUUCGGAACAACACAGGGAAACUUGUGCUAAUACCGGAUAAGCCCUUACGGGGAAAGAUUUAUCGCCAAAAGAUCGGCCCGCGUCUGAUUAGCUAGUUGGUGGGGUAACGGCUCACCAAGGCUACGAUCAGUAGCUGGUCUGAGAGGAUGAUCAGCCACACUGGGACUGAGACACGGCCCAGACUCCUACGGGAGGCAGCAGUUAGGAAUCUUGGACAAUGGGCGCAAGCCUGAUCCAGCCAUGCCGCGUGAGUGAUGAAGGCCUUAGGGUUGUAAAGCUCUUUCAGCGGGGAAGAUAAUGACGGUACCCGCAGAAGAAGCCCCGGCUAACUUCGUGCCAGCCGCCGCCGUAAG